UGUUUCAAAGUGGGAAAAGACUGAAGGAAGACCCUCCUUGGGUAUUUACUUCGCUCGCAGAUUUUAAAUAAAUGAGUUUCGGGGUGUUUGACUAAAUAGAACCGCCAGGUUCGGGACUAAGCAUAAGAAACGUAAGCAUGGUAAUGAGAAAUAGCCAAUUUCUUCCAUCACUUAGAAAUAUCACCUAAGAGAACACUUGCAAUUAGUGUCUCUGCACACGGCAGAGCGAAUCCCCCAGGAAUACCAGCUCCUGACCACCGGCAGCCCUGACAUGCCUCAGAGCCGCCACUCCCCCCACACACAGAUGUGCGUUUUGAAACGGCCAUCCUUCGGUCCGCUUACAAUGGAGAAUCUAAACACAACGCCUGACAGACUUACUCUGGAAGCAACUGUCUCUCUGCAGAAGAAGAAGAAGAAUGCAGCUGCACAGCCUGGCUCUGCACCGUGGGGCCUGUGGAAGCCGCCUGACACUGGCAACUGACAUCCGCUAUCCAGGUACGGAGCAGGUACAGGACCCGAAGCAGCAGCAGCAGCCACUGCCUGUGUUUCUUGAAGCCGCCCAGGGACUGUGACACUGCUCUGCCCACCAGGCAGCUGGAGCAGGACUAGGACUCUUGUCAGCCACUAGCCGGAGGCACUGCCAAAGAGUGCAGCAGCAGCAAGCAGAAGAGCGUUAUCUGACCAUCGGCUUACAAGAUUUUCCAAGCAAUCUAUCCUGGGCCAGUAUCUUGCAGCACUAAUCCUUCGGCUAGUCUGCUCAACUGCCCUCUCAAAUACUUUUAUCAGCAGUUAAGUAAGAAGAGUUCCUUGAGUUUGUGCAGUGUCUUUUCUCUUCCCCACCUCUAAAGAUGACAAAUAACAUUACUUACAAUUUCCAGUUCACAGUGCAAAACUAAAGACAGUAUAUAAGUUACCCGCUACGUGGCAACACAUCAAACCAUACAACCUGUACAAGAGGCGAAAAACACCAAAAACUUUGCACCUAAGCAAUGCCUAUGUCUAACAUGUAGCCCAAUGUCUAAACUUUACUUUUUAGAUUCAACAUAUAUUCCCAGCUGAACACAAUAUAAGGCUGGCAUGGAAGUGAAUCAUUUUUAAAGCUCUCCUUUAAUCUACAGUACAAAUACAUAUAUAUUAAAAAGGAAUCUUUUCCUGCUCAUAAAAGCCAUCAAGGGAAAUAGAAUAAUUCAAGUCAUUUCCCAUUUGUAGUUACUGAGACACAAGAUAUAUUUAAACAGUUGGUACAGAAAAAAUGGAAAGCAUCUACCAUAUCAAUGUACAGCUAGCAUGCCAAACCAUUAAUGUAAGAGCUAAACAAGGGAUGAAUACAUCAUGUGCAAUAGUCUCACAUGAUAUAAAUUAUUCAAUACCUGACCAAAGAAAACAGCUUUCAGGAGAGAGGGGGAGGAUCUGAAAGUGCUUUUGUAGUUUGAAUAAAUACAGUAUUAUGAAUUGAUGACAAAUAUGCUUUUACAAAAGGGAAAAAAAAUCUUCCUAACUCUACAGCACAGUUAAAUAAUCACGUUUAUUUUCAAACUAUUUCACUAAGUUAUGUCAAUCCAACUUGCAUUCUGUUGUUUACCAUAAAGGUUGAUUUCAUUUUAUACAGUGUUGAGAAUUCUGAA